rnacentral:rRNA from 1 species
UACGUAGGGUGCAAGCGUUAAUCGGAAUUACUGGGCGUAAAGCGUGCGCAGGCGGUUAUGCAAGACAGAUGUGAAAUCCCCGGGCUUAACCUGGGAACCGCAUUUGUGACUGCAUAGCUGGAGUACGGCAGAGGGGGAUGGAAUUCCGCGUGUAGCAGUGAAAUGCGUAGAUAUGCGGAGGAACACCGAUGGCGAAGGCACUCUGCUGGGCCGACACUGACACUGAGAGACGAAAGCUAGGGGAGCGAAUGGG